rnacentral:rRNA from 1 species
GGAAUUUUGGGCAAUGGGCGAAAGCCUGACCCAGCAACGCCGCGUGAAGGAUGAAAUCCCUCGGGAUGUAAACUUCGCAAGAACGGGAAGAAUAAGUAAGGGUUAAUAUCUCUUACGAUGACGGUACUGUUUGUAAGCUCCGGCUAACUUCGUGCCCGCAGCCGCGGUAAUACGAAGGGUGCAGGCGUUACUCGGAAUUACUGGGCGUAAAGCGUGCGUAGGUGGUUUGUUAAGUCUGAUGUGAAAGCCCUGGGCUCAACCUGGGAAUGGCAUUGGAUACUGGCAGUCUAGAGUGCGGUAGAGGGUAGUGGAAUUCCCGGUGUAGCAGUGAAAUGCGUAGAUAUCGGGAGGAACAUCCGUGGCGAAGGCGACUACCUGGACCAGCACUGACACUGAGGCACGAAAGCGUGGGGAGCAAA